rnacentral:rRNA from 1 species
CGUAGGGUGCGAGCGUUAAUCGGAAUUACUGGGCGUAAAGCGUGCGCAGGCGGUUUUGUAAGACAGAUGUGAAAUCCCCGGGCUCAACCUGGACCUGCAUUUGUGACUGCAAGGCUAGAGUACGGUAGAGGGGGAUGGAAUUCCGCGUGUAGCAGUGAAAUGCGUAGAUAUGCGGAGGAACACCGAUGGCGAAGGCAAUCCCCUGGACCUGUACUGACGCUCAUGCACGAAAGCGUGGGGAGCAAACAGGAUUAGAUACCCUGGUAGUCCACGCCCUAAACGAUGUCAACUGGUUGUUGGGUCUUUACUGACUCAGUAACGAAGCUAACGCGUGAAGUUGACCGCCUGGGGAGUACGGCCGCAAGGUUG